GCUUACGGCCAUACCACCAUAGGCACGCACGAUCUCGUCUGAUCUCGGAAGCUAAGCAGGGUCGGGCCUGGUUAGUACUUGGAUGGGUGACCGCCUGGGAAUACCAGGUGCUGUAAGCA
ensembl:rRNA 5S_rRNA 5S ribosomal RNA